UGGGGAAUUUUGGACAAUGGGGGAAACCCUGAUCCAGCCAUCCCGCGUGUGCGAUGAAGGCCUUCGGGUUGUAAAGCACUUUUGGCAGGAAAGAAACGUCGCGGGUUAAUACCCCGCGAAACUGACGGUACCUGCAGAAUAAGCGCCGGCUAACUACGUGCCAGCAGCCGCGGUAAUACGUAGGGUGCAAGCGUUAAUCGGAAUUACUGGGCGUAAAGCGUGCGCAGGCGGUUCGGAAAGAAAGAUGUGAAAUCCCAGAGCUUAACUUUGGAACUGCAUUUUUAACUACCGGGCUAGAGUGUGUCAGAGGGAGGUGGAAUUCCGCGUGUAGCAGUGAAAUGCGUAGAUAUGCGGAGGAACACCGAUGGCGAAGGCAGCCUCCUGGGAUAACACUGACGCUCAUGCACGAAAGCGUGGGGAGCAAACAGGAUUAGAUACCCUGGUAGUCCACGCCCUAAACGAUGUCAACUAGCUGUUGGGGCCUUCGGGCCUUGGUAGCGCAGCUAACGCGUGAAGUUGACCGCCUGGGGAGUACGGUCGCAAGAUUAAAACUCAAAGGAAUUGG
rnacentral:rRNA from 1 species